UACAGAGGUCUCGAGCGUUGUUCGGAUUCAUUGGGCGUAAAGGGUGCGUAGGUGGCGCUGUAAGUCGGGUGUGAAAUCCUGAGGCUUAACCUCGGAACUGCAUUCGAUACUGCGGUGCUUGAGGACUGGAGAGGAGACUGGAAUUCAUGGUGUAGCAGUGAAAAUGCGUAGAGAUCAUGAGGGAAGACCAGUGGCGAAGGCGGGGUCUCUGGACAGUUCCUGACACUGAGGCACGAAGGCCCAGGGGGGAGCAAAACGGG
rnacentral:rRNA from 1 species